UCAGAAACCGAGAAAUUUGACACUUUAAGGUAAAGGGGGCUGAUCAUGUUGACGCGCGAGCUGGUUUGACCAGGGGCGCAGGAGACAUUUUCAAAGUGUGUGUGUGUGUGUGUGUGUGUGUGUGUGUCUGUCUGUAAGCAAAAGCCCAUAUAAGAUCAGAUUUCCGGAUAUCGGACCACUACUUCAGGCUCACUGGCGGACCACCAUCAUAAAUUAAACUUGUCGGAUCAUUAACUAAGCACUGUGGACAAUUUGUGGAUUUCUAUUAAGAGUAAUUGCUGGCCCCUGCCCAUCCAAACCAAUGAAAAAAUCUUGGCUCCACCACUGGAUUUGAUGGUUUGAUUCAUAGUUUAUGGGUUUUUCAAAAUGGAUCGGUAACACUUAAUAAUUACUUUCAUUUAAAAAUCAUUAACAGACAUAUAACGGAUUAGUUAAUAUUUAUUCAAAUAGCUAGAAAUAUGAGAUAAUGUGCUUGUUAAUGUUUACUAAUGACUUCGCUUUGUAACUUUGCAGAUUGUUUACAUGCAGUUAUAUUACACAUUAACAGAAAGGUGUUUCAAUGCCAUUGUGAGAAUGGCUGUGGUCAGAGGGCAGCCUUGACGGAGUUCUCUGUAGUCACCAUUGGAGUGGUUGGCCUUAGCGAGCAAGUUUUUCAGAAUGCUGAAGUCCUUUGGUGGUGAAGGGGUAAUAUGUUUAAGAGACGUAAGUGAUUUGAGACAUUGCUGAAGGAAAGACAUCUUGAUUAUUUGGGGGCAUUUUGCAAUAGUCACACAAAUGCGACUACUGCGUACUACCCUUUUUCUUUUCCUAAAAGAUGGUGUUAGAAACACUUUAAGGCGUUUGGCUAAAAUCUGAGCCAAUAUCAAAUAGUCAACAAUGAAAGAAUGUGUUCCGUCUGAAGUAAGCAAUGAUUUCACGAAACGUUCAGGAACAUGUUUAGACUUCAGCAUUAUGUUGUAGAUUAUCUUUAAUAUUUCUGUCUUUGGAAGGUCAUUCUUCUUGUAGUCACAAACUCUGAGAUUAUCAGGAGUUUGUUCUUGUGAGUCAGGCAAAGAUCUGAUGGCACUUAGUAUUUCUGCACAGUUUAUUUUCUCUGUACUUCUGUCUGGUUUUAGACUGGCUCCCCCCAUUUUCUGUCUAAAUGUGCGUAACAUUGUGGAAACUUCCGGCACUGCAAUACUUUGUGGUGAUGGAAAUUCUACAUCUAAAACUAGAGGAUCAUGAUCAGAAAUUUGUGCUUUGAUGGUGUCACAGUUUUUGACAAGAUGUUCUGUGUUGUUUGGCAUGAAAAACAUAUCCAAUCUCGAAUGACUCUUAUUCAGAGAUCGUGUGCAGCCUUCUUCCAUUGGAUGCUUUAAUGCAAAUACAUCUUUGAGACUCAGAGAUUCAGUGAAAUGUUCAAGAAUGAUUCUAAGUGAGGAAUGGUCCAUUUGAUCUGCUGAUGAUAUCCUAUCAAUAUUUGGGUCCAGUACAGUGUUGAAGUCCCCACCAACCACAAGCACACCUUUAGUGUUAACAGCUCUCAAAUAGUCUCCCAAUCUGUACAGCAUCUGUCUGUCUGCCUUGUGGUUGUACACAUUAACAAGAGUAUACAACUGACAAUGGAGGCGACAGAAAAGGACAAUAUAGCCACCGCUGUAAUCCUCAUCAUGGCAUAUGUAGCGAAAUAUUGUGUCAUUCUUUAUCAAGAUAGCAACUCCUUUGCUGCGAGGAUGGUGGACAGUGAAGAAAGACCUCCAGCCUUUUAUGUUCUCUAGUACUUUGUAAGACUGUGGUCCAAUGUGUGUCUCUUGUACAAAGACAACAUCAGCCUUCAGUUUGAUGAGUUCAUCUAACACAGGUUGGAGCUUGGAGCUUUUGUCUUUUGUGAACCUGAUUCCCAUUGUGUUCCAGGAGACAAAACGAAGCUUCUUGUGUUUGCUCAUCUUGAAAAUUACCUAAAAGACCACAAAUCACAACCAGAAUAUUUGUUUAAACUGUCUUAUUGAGGAUUUAAUGAAAAACACAUUAAUAAUAUAAAUAUAUAUAUAUUAUACUGACAUAAUAAUGAAUGGAAAAUCUUUUUGGACUCUAUUUAUCCAUCAAAUAAUUUAAAUAAUUAUGCGUUGUUACAAAACAAACAAACAAGAACAGCUCAGUCUUAGAUGAUGAAAAUGCCUCAGGUCAUUUUUGAGAAAUCAACUGACUAUGACUAAUUCAUAACAGCAUUUUCUUUCUAUUAGACAUGUCACAAGCAGAGUUUUGGUCUUAGAUCAAUCAGAGUAUCUGUCUGCUUUAAAUCUUGUGUGAUUCUAAAGCAGUGGUUCUCAACUAGAGAUUAAAAGCAUAGCAUUAAAAUAGCGUUAGAAUAAUGACACUGACAUAGCCUGACAACAUAUCAUUUGACCACAAAUACAGAAUCAGGACAACACAUUUUUCUCAGGCACUCUGUGAUCCACUUGGAACUGGUCAUGGCUCAUUAUUUGGGAAACACUGUUCUAAAGCACACUUCAUGAUUUAAUGUUAAAUACUAGAACAUUCACCUACCCUAAACACUUAAAAACAGACAGAAGCAAAAGAGUCUGUAUAAAACAGUAAUGGUUUCCUCUGGGUUCAGUUAUACGGGUUGAUGUGUAAAAACUUUACUGAAAAACAAAUUACAUACUGAAAACUUAUUAUAUAUUAUAAAAUAUCUCACACUCACCUUGAAGCUGGGUAGUUGAAAGAAACUCUAUAUAAAAGACUGAGGAUGGAGUUGUACGUUGUCACUCAACUGUUGAUAAGAUUCAUUUAACCUGUAGAUGGAGCAUUUUAAAGAGAGUUGCCACUCCCUAUGGAAAGGUACAUGAGUCACACAACAAACAUUAUCAUUCUGAAAUAUGAUCUUGAUCAUCUUUAUCACUAGGGUAUGUACCAAAAAGUUUUAAGCUGGCUAUUAUUAAACCUCUUAUUAAAAAACACAAAUUGAUCCUAGAGAAUUAAUCAAUUACAGGCCAAUCUC